rnacentral:rRNA from 1 species
UACGUAGGUGGCAAGCGUUGUCCGGAAUUAUUGGGCGUAAAGCGCGCGCAGGCGGUCUUUUAAGUCUGAUGUGAAAGCCCACGGCUCAACCGUGGAGGGUCAUUGGAAACUGGGAGACUUGAGUGCAGAAGAGAAGAGUGGAAUUCCCCGUGUAGCGGUGAAAUGCGUAGAGAUGGGGAGGAACACCAGUGGCGAAGGCGACUCUUUGGUCUGUAACUGACGCUGAGGCGCGAAAGCGUGGGGAGCAAACAGG